GACGAACGCUGGCGGCGUGCUUAACACAUGCAAGCCGAACGAUGAGGCCGCUUCGGUGGUGGAUUAGUGGCGAACGGGUGAGUAACACGUGGGCAAUCUGCCCUGCACUCUGGGACAAGCACUGGAAACGGGGUCUAAUACCGGAUACGACCAUCGGCCGCAUGGCCUGGUGGUGGAAAGCUCUGGUGGUGCAGGAUGAGCCCGCGGCCUAUCAGCUUGUUGGUGGGGUGAUGGCCUACCAAGGCGACGACGGGUAGCCGGCCGGAGAGGGCGGCGGGCCACACGGGGACUGAGACACGGGCCAGACUCCUACGGGAGGCAGCAGGGGGAAAUAUGGCACAAUGGGCGCAGGCCUGAAGCAGCGACGCCGCGUGGGGGGUGACGGCCGUCGUGUUGUAAACCUCUUUCAGCAGGGAAGAAGGUUGCGGGUGACGGUACCUGCAGAAGAAGCACCGGCUAACUACGUGCCAGCCGCCGCGGUAA
rnacentral:rRNA from 1 species